GACGAACGCUGGCGGCGUGCUUAACACAUGCAAGUCGAACGGAAAGGCCCUGCUUUUGUUGGGUGCUCGAGUGGCGAACGGGUGAGUAACACGUGAGUAACCUGCCCUUGACUUUGGGAUAACUUCAGGAAACUGGGGCUAAUACCGGAUAGGAGCUCCUGCUGCAUGGUGGGGGUUGGAAAGUUUCGGCGGUUGGGGAUGGACUCGCGGCUUAUCAGCUUGUUGGUGGGGUAGUGGCUUACCAAGGCUUUGACGGGUAGCCGGCCUGGGGGGGUGACCGGCCAAAUUGGGACUGGGAUACGGCCCAGACUCCAACGGGAGGCAGCAGUGGGGAAUAUUGCACAAUGGGCGGAAGCCUGAUGCAGCAACGCCGCGUGCGGGAUGACGGCCUUCGGGUUGUAAACCGCUUUCGCCUGUGACGAAGCGUGAGUGACGGUAAUGGGUAAAGAAGCACCGGCUAACUACGUG
rnacentral:rRNA from 1 species